rnacentral:rRNA from 1 species
CCUACGGGAGUCAGCAGUGAGGAAUAUUGGUCAAUGGGCGCGAGCCUGAACCAGCCACGUAGCGUGAAGGAUGACUGCCCUACGGUUUGUAAACUUCUUUUAUAAAGGAAUAACGUGAGGCACGAGUGCCUUUUUGUAUGUACUUUAUGAAUAAGCAUCGGCUAACUCCGUGGCAGCAGCCGCGGUAAUACGGAGGAUCCGAGCGUUAUCCGGAUUUAUUGGGUUUAAAGGGAGCGUAGAUGGGUAGUUAAGUCAGUUGUGAAAGUUUGCGGCUCAACCGUAAAAUUGCAAUUGAUACUGGCAGUCUUGAGUACAGUUGAGGUAGGCGGAAUUCGUGGUGUAGCGGUGAAAUGCUUAGAUAUCACGAGGAACUCCGAUUGCGAAGGCAGACUACUAAACUGCCACUGACAUUGAUGCUCGAAAGGGUGGGUAGCAAACAGGAUUAGAUACCCUGGUAGUC